AUUGAACGCUGGCGGCGUGCCUAACACAUGCAAGUCGAGCGGUAACGCGGGGGCAACCCUGGCGACGAGCGGCGAACGGGUGAGUAAUGUUUCGGAAUCUACCCAUGGGUGGGGAAUAACCAGCCGAAAGGUUGGCUAAUACCGCAUAAGUCCGUGAGGGGAAAGCGGGGGAUCGCAAGACCUCGCGCCGAUGGAUGAGCCGAAACCGGAUUAGCUAGUUGGUAGGGUAACGGCCUACCAAGGCGACGAUCCGUAGCUGGUCUGAGAGGA
rnacentral:rRNA from 1 species